UACGGAGGGGGGCUAGCGUUGUUCGGAAUUACUGGGCGUAAAGCGCACGUAGGCGGCUUUUGUAAGUUAGAGGUGAAAGCCCGGGGCUCAACUCCGGAAUUGCCUUUAAGACUGCAUCGCUAGAAUUGUGGAGAGGUAAGUGGAAUUCCCGAGUGUAGAGGUGAAAUUCGUAGAUAUUCGGAAGAACACCAGUGGCGAAGGCGACUUACUGGACACA
rnacentral:rRNA from 1 species